GUCAUGAAGAAAUUGCUGACACGUUAGUUGCAGUCCACCUCCACCAACAGGGUGGAAAACAAAGGUCGCCAUUCCGAUUAGCUGCUAUCUCCCAGUUCAAGCACUUUUGCUGUCUGGACACUGGUUCCUGUGGAUGGGCUGUUACAAGCUUCACUGUCUGAUAUAGAAGUGAUGAGCAUCCAUAAGGACACAUGGCAGAAAGGGAGUCUCUUUGAGAUGACAAACCCUCAUCACCUCAUGAGGAUACAAUGGUUGACGAAUGGUUCUCAAGUACAUCGAAACUUCAACAAAUAAUUCAUGAAAAAGCCAGUCAGUGCUAGCACCAGGAAUUGAACGUGGACCGUCCUGCUACCAGUCAGAGAUGUUACAUUUCAGGCGCUCAUUG